UAACAAGGAUUCCCCUAGUAACGGCGAGUGAAGCGGGAAAAGCUCAAAUUUAAAAUCUGGCUGUCUUAGGCAGUCCGAGUUGUAAUCUGGAGAAGUGUUUUCUGCGCUGGACCGUAUACAAGUCUCUUGGAAUAGAGCGUCAUAGAGGGUGAGAAUCCCGUCUUUGAUACGGACUACCAGGGCUAUAUGAUACACUCUCGAAGAGUCGAGUUGUUUGGGAAUGCAGCUCAAAAUGGGUGGUAAAUUCCAUCUAAAGCUAAAUAUAGGCGAGAGACCGAUAGCGAACAAGUACCGUGAGGGAAAGAUGAAAAGCACUUUGGAAAGAGAGUUAAACAGUACGUGAAAUUGUUGAAAGGGAAACGCUUGAAGUCAGUCGCGUUAGUUGAGACUCAGCCUUGCUUCUGCUUGGUGCAUUUCUUAGCUGACGGGUCAACAUCAAUUUUGAUCGUUGGAAAAAGGCCAGGGGAAUGUGGCACCUUCGGGUGUGUUAUAGCCCUUGGUUGUAUACAACGGUUGGGAUUGAGGACCGCAGUGCGCCUUUAUGGUCGGGGUUCGCCCUCGUUCGCACUUAGGAUGUUGGCAUAAUGGCUUUAAGCGAC
rnacentral:rRNA from 1 species